GACGAACGCUGGCGGCGUGCCUAAUACAUGCAAGUAGAACGCUGAAGGAGGAGCUUGCUCUUCUGGAUGAGUUGCGAACGGGUGAGUAACGCGUAGGUAACCUGCCUGGUAGCGGGGGAUAACUAUUGGAAACGAUAGCUAAUACCGCAUAAGAGUAGAUGUUGCAUGACAUUUGCUUAAAAGGUGCAAUUGCAUCACUACCAGAUGGACCUGCGUUGUAUUAGCUAGUUGGUGGGGUAACGGCUCACCAAGGCGACGAUACAUAGCCGACCUGGGAGGGUGAUCGGCCACACUGGGACUGAGACACGGCCCAGACUCCUACGGGAGGCAGCAGUAGGGAAUCUUCGGCAAGGGACGGAAGUCUGACCGAGCAACGCCGCGUGAGUGAAGAAGGUUUUCGGAUCGUAAAGCUCUGUUGUAAGAGAAGAACGAGUGUGAGAGUGGAAAGUUCACACUGUGACGGUAUCUUACCAGAAAGGGACGGCUAACUACGUG
rnacentral:rRNA from 1 species